CCUUCAGUCGCUGCGACUCGUUUCUCUCCUGUCUUGGUUGCACAUUCCCCUGUGUUAGCUCACAGAGACUUGAAUUGUUUGCGCCUUCUUGUAUCAUUAUAUUUAUUUUAUCAUUAUAUUUUAUUUUUAAUCAAAUUUUUUUCCUGACAUUUAAGAUAACUGUGAGUGGUGAGCAUUUUUUAUCUUGUUUUAUAGAAGUUUGCGCUUGGAGCGUGUAUGCCACGCCUGGAUGUUUUGUUGUUGGACAGAGCAAUGUUAGCUUUGUAUAUUGGUGAUCUGCAUUAGGGUUCGAGGUGGAAGUCUGAUAGCGUUGAGAGACUUGGCAUGCGCAGGAUUAUGUGAGGAGAAGUGGGAGUUGGGAAAGGAGGAAGGUGAGAAUCUGGCGAGUGAGAGGUGAGGAUCUGUUUGCGAUUGAUUUUGGAGCUGGUGUAAUCAAAACAACGCUAUAAUGGAGUAUACACAGGAGACGUUGAAGACACUCUCUCAGUGUUUUCUGCAGACUCUUGCUCCUAAUCCUGAGCCCCGGAAGCAAGCGGAAAGCUUAUUGAAGCAGGCGGCGGAUCAGGCCGGCUAUGGAAUGGUAAUUAUGCAGAUUGUUUGCGAGCCCUCAGUAGACGAGCAAGUGAGGCAGGCUGCAGCUGUGAAUUUCAAGAACCAUAUUAAAUUCCGAUGGGCAACUCCAGAUGCUGACGAUCCAUCCCCUGUGGUCGCUAUUCAAGACCCGGAGAAGGAACAGAUCAAGGGUGCGAUUGUCAAGUUGAUGCUCAGUACUCCUCCUAAGAUCCAGUCACAGCUUAGCGAAGCCCUGGCUAUUAUGAGUCAGCACGACUAUCCCAGGAAAUGGCAGUCGCUUCUGCCUGAGCUUGUGAACAGCUUGUCUACUGCUUCUGACUACACAGUCAUCAACGGCAUCUUGCAGACAGCCAACUCAAUUUUUAAGCGAUUUAGGUAUGAAUUCAAGUCAAAUGAGCUGUAUACGGAUUUGAAAUACUGUCUUGAUGGCUUUUGUGCCCCACUCUUGGACAUUUUUCAGAAGACUGGGCUGGUCAUUGCUGCUAAUACCGAAAAUCCCGCUAUUUUGAAGCCGCCGUUCGAAUGCCUACGAUUGUGUAGCCGGAUAUUUUAUUCUCUCAACUUCCAGGAACUCCCUGAGUUUUUCGAAGAGCAUAUAGCGGAGUGGAUGGGAGAGUUUCACAAGUAUUUGGUAUAUACGAAUCCUCUAUUGGCUGAAAGGGAUUCUGAGAAAACAAGCGUUGUAGAUGAACUAAAGGCAGCAAUUUGCGAGAAUAUCAAUCUGUACAUGGAGAAAAACGAAGAAGAAUUUCAGGCUUAUUUGAGUCAAUUUGCGACGGAUGUAUGGGGCUUACUCAUGACCGUUUCUUUGGCUCCCAGCCAAGAUCGGUUGGCAACAACUGCCAUUAAGUUUCUGACCACCGUGAGUAAGAGUGUCCAUCACAAGCUGUUUGCAGAUCCUGCAACCUUAACACAGAUUUGUGAAAGUAUUGUUAUUCCAAACGUGAGAAUUCGAGACGAAGAUGAAGAGCUCUUUGACAUGAAUCACGUUGAGUACAUUAGACGCGAUGUGGAAGGGAGUGACUUGGACACCAGGAGGAGGAUGGCUUGUGAGCUAGUGAAGGGGCUAUCAACUCACUAUCGUGAGCAGGUGACAGGAAUGUUCAAUGGAUACAUACAAACCAUGCUGCAACAGUAUGCCGCUGCUCCUGCUGAGAAUUGGAAUGCCAAAGAUUGUGCGAUUUACUUGGUGGUAUCGCUUGCUCCUAAGCAAGCAUCAACUGGAGCAGCGGGCACAGAUCUGGUGAACUUUGAACAAUUUUUCAACUCUCAGAUAGUGCCAGAAUUGCGAGCUCAGGGCUCAAAUUACAACGGGAUUCUGAAGGCCGAUGCAUUGAAGUUCUUGACCACAUUUCGCACUCUGGUUCCCAAACAACUGACCCUGGAAUUGAUGCCGCAGUUGAUUCAGUUUCUUGUCGCGGAAGCUAAUGUUGUUCACUCUUAUGCAGCCUUGGCCAUCGAGAAGCUACUGACCAUUAAGGAUGGAAGACACACUCGUUAUUCUGCUGCAGAUCUUACUCCAUUUCUUCAAUCUCUUUUUGCAAACCUAUUCGGUGCACUGAAGCUUGUUGACUCUCAGGAGAAUGCGUAUGUCAUGAAGUGCAUUAUGAGAGUUUUAUCCAUUGCAGAUAUUGGACCGUUUUCUGCCCAAUGUUUAGGUGAGCUCACUAACAUCUUGGCGCACGUGUGCAAGAACCCAACCAAUCCGAGCUUCAAUCAUUAUCUUUUUGAGGCGGUAGCCGCACUUCUGAGGAAUGCAUGCGAGAAAGAUCCAGGGCAGGUGGCAACAUUUGAGAACUUGCUGUUCCCCGUCUUCCAGACAGUUUUGGAGAAUGAUGUGACGGAGUUUGCUCCUUACGUUUUCCAAAUCAUGUCUCAAUUGCUUGAGACUCGAAGGCCUCCUAUUCCCCCAACAUACUUGCACAUUUUCCCUGCACUGCUAACUCCUCUUUUGUGGCAAAGGCAGGCUAACGUUCCUGGUUUGGUUAGGCUUCUCCAGGCCUACCUACAGAAGGCUCCGCAAGAAAUCAAUCAAGCAAACCAGUUGACCCAGGUGUUAGGAGUUUUUGAGAAGCUUGUUGGUUCCAAAAACACCGACCAUCAGGGCUUUUUUAUUCUAAACACAGUUGUGGAGAAUUUGAGUUUUGAAGCUCUGUCUCCUUACAUGCUUCAAAUUUGGAAUAUUCUAUUUUCACGACUGCAGUAUCGCAGCACAGUGAAAUUUAUCAAGUCUCUUAUUAUUUUCUCUUCUCUCUUUGGUGUGAAGCACGGCCCGCAACGGGUAAUUGAGACAAUCAAUUCUGUGCAACCUGAAUUGUUCUAUACCAUUUUGGACAAAAUCUGGAUCCCAAACCUUACAACUAUUAGUGGAGAUAUUGAAACGAAGCUAUGCUCUGUAUUUGCAACGAUGCUUGUUGCACCAUUGUUUCAAUCUUCCAAGGAGGCGUUGGUAGGCAAGUUGGUCAAUAAUGUGAUGACAUUAUUGAUUAAGCCCGAAGAGGAACGGGUGGAUGAAGACAAAGAUGUACCUGAUAUGGACGAAGUUGUAGGUUAUGUGGCUGUGUAUGCUCAAUUACAUAAUGCCGCUAAAAAAGAAGAUGACCCUCUGAAAGAUAUCAAGGAUCCCAAAGAAUUUGUGGCAAAAACUCUUGCAGGGGUCUCUCAACAGUACCGCAGCUUAUCUACAGUGUUGCAGCAGGGAUUAGAACCUGCUAACAUGAUAGCUUUGGGACAGUUUUGCAGCGCGUCGAGUGUUGCCUUGGCCUGAUUUUAGUCGUUUUCGAGAGGUAUUGAGGAAAGAGGGACAAAUGUAGUGUCCCACAUUUUCAGGAAGUUUUGUGUUCACAUGAUUAACCCGCCAAAGCCUAGGUAGGUAAUGUUGAAGUCCUGGAGUUUGGCAAGCUUCGAAUGAGCACUUUCCUAUGUGGAUAUGCCUGACUCUUCACCGCAAGAGUAUUUUUGGUUUAAUUUCAUGGUUUCAUGAAUUAGUGCUUAGGUAGCAUUAGUCAAUUUAUGACUAAUAUUGAUCUCUAUUAGCAAAAGGGUCUCGUGUUGGAGAUAAGGUUUUUAGAGUAUAUCUCGUUGAAUCCAAGCAGUGCCAAAUGAAAUGUUCAUUGACUCGACGUGUUCUUCAAUUGCGAUUUUCAAGAGAUUGAAGAUCCCCAUUGAUAUGUUCUAUUUCAUAUACUAGACAGGAUGAAUGGAACUUUAUUCACCGGUAAGUUUUGAUUAGUUUUAGCGACAAAUGCGCUUCGACAAAACACCUCUCCUAAUCUACCUUCAGUUAUUCA